UACGAAGGUCCCGAGCGUUGUUCGGAAUCACUGGGCGUAAAGGGUGCGUAGGCGGCCUGACAAGUCUGAUGUGAAAUCCCUGGGCUCAACCCAGGGCCUGCAUCGGAAACUGUCGGGCUUGAGUAUGGGAGAGGUGAGUGGAAUUUCCGGUGUAGCGGUGAAAUGCGUAGAUAUCGGAAGGAACACCUGUGGCGAAAGCGGCUCACUGGACCAUUACUGACGCUGAGGCACGAAAGCUAGGGGAGCAAACAGG
rnacentral:rRNA from 1 species